UAAAAAGCAUUGCAUAGCAAGGGCCGGGCAAGACCGGUGCCAGCCGCCGCGGUAACACCGGCGGCUCGAGUGGUAGCCGUUAUUAUUGGGUCUAAAGGGUCUGUAGCCGGCCGGAUAAGUCUCUUGGGAAAUCUGGCAGCUUAACUGUCAGGCUUUCAGGGGAUACUGUCUGGCUUGAGACCGGGAGAGGUGAGAGGUACUUCAGGGGUAGGGGUGAAAUCCUGUAAUCCUUGAAGGACCACCAGUGGCGAAGGCGUCUCACCAGAACGGACCUGACRGCAAGGGACGAAAGCUAGGGGCACGAACCGGAUUAGAUACCCGGGUAGUCCUAGCCGUAAACGAUACUCGUUAGGUGUCGGCCACGCUGCGACCGUUGUCGGUGCCGUAGGGAAGCCGUGAAGCGAGCCACCUGGGAAGUACGGCCGCAAGGCUG
rnacentral:rRNA from 1 species